UACGUAGGGCGCAAGCGUUGUCCGGAAUUAUUGGGCGUAAAGAGCUCGUAGGCGGCUUGUCACGUCGGAUGUGAAAGCCCGAGGCUUAACCUCGGGUCUGCAUUCGAUACGGGCUAGCUAGAGUGUGGUAGGGGAGAUCGGAAUUCCUGGUGUAGCGGUGAAAUGCGCAGAUAUCAGGAGGAACACCGGUGGCGAAGGCAGGUCUCUGGGCCACUACUGACGCUGAGAAGCGAAAGCAUGGGGAGCGAACAGG
rnacentral:rRNA from 1 species